rnacentral:tRNA from 1 species
CAGAGUGUAGUUUAUUGAAAAUAUUAGUUUUGGGAAUUAAUGAUAAGUUUUUCUUUGUUCUGA